CUUUUUCAUGUGUCUGCAGUCCUCUGGUGGCUCAGCUGGGACUUGGAUAUUGUAAAAUGGCCUUACUUAAAUGUCUGACAGUAGUCCAGCUGUUGACUGGAGCAACAGGGGUAACUGGGCCAAUUAUCUCGCAUUAACUCUCCGUCUAGUAGGCUCUACCUAGCUCACUCACAUAGCAGUGGUAGGGUUUGAAGAGCAGAAAGGAAAUUCCCAAUGGAUAUUUUUGACUACACAGAUGAGAACAAUUUCAGGACCUCAUAAGUGGCAUUAUGGACAUUGCUUAUAAACUACAAGUUAUUUGGCAAAGCUUCUUCUCUUCAACUUUCAAUGCAGAAUAAAGAAUUUCUGAAGUAGUACACCC
rnacentral:lncRNA from 10 species